GAUAGCGGAACGUAGACUAAGAGCAUCACUUUCUGUGACAAAGUCUACAUAACCCACAUCCUAUGGG
rnacentral:sRNA from 1 species